GACACGACUCUCGGCAACGGAUAUCUCGGCUCUCGCAUCGAUGAAGAACGUAGCGAAAUGCGAUACCUGGUGUGAAUUGCAGAAUCCCGCGAACCAUCGAGUCUUUGAACGCAAGUUGCGCCCGAGGCCACCCGGUCGAGGGCACSCCUGCCUGGGCGUCACG
rnacentral:rRNA from 1 species